rnacentral:rRNA from 1 species
CCUACGGGGGGCUGCAGUGGGGAAUCUUGCGCAAUGGGCGAAAGCCUGACGCAGCCAUGCCGCGUGAAUGAUGAAGGUCUUAGGAUUGUAAAAUUCUUUCACCGGGGACGAUAAUGACGGUACCCGGAGAAGAAGCCCCGGCUAACUUCGUGCCAGCAGCCGCGGUAAUACGAAGGGGGCUAGCGUUGCUCGGAAUUACUGGGCGUAAAGGGCGCGUAGGCGGACAUUUAAGUCAGGGGUGAAGUCACAGAGCUAAACUCUGGAACUGCGUUUGAUACUGGGUGUCUUGAGUGUGCGAGAGGUAUGCGGAACUCGGAGUGUAGAGGUGAAAUUCGUUGAUAGUCGAAAGGACACCAGUGGCGAAGGCGACAUACUGGCUCAUUACUGACGCUGAGGCGCGAAAGCGUGGGGAGCAAACAGGAUUAGAUACCCUUGUAGUC